AAAAAGCAGUCUCUUACUCAACUGUACACCUGGCUCAGGAGUACAAAAUCUGUCCUGAGCAGAGUGAAGUUUUGAAAACCUGUGAAAGCACAGAUAAAACCUUCCACCUCAGAAGUAGAAUGAAAUACCAUGAGCUGCCUCAGACCUUGAGGCAUUAUGGAUAAAAUCUAACAGCCAUAUAAGCAAGAGCUAUGGAAAACACAUUCAGCAGGAAAACUAACCUACCUGCAUCAUUUCAUGCCUCCAUUCCUAAGGGUGGAAGCAAAUCUGUGACAUUUUGCUGCUGGUGGGUACUGAGUGGAUCCUCAGCUGAUGUAGAUCACUGCAAUUAUUCUUCGUUGUCCAGAGCAGACAUGAUGCAGCAAUGGGAAUUUGGAGUGUUCCUGUGAUCUGACCAUGUAAGAGAAGUUGGAGUUGGCCAUCUCUGCGUGCAAGCGCUGGCAAGUGAUACUUAAACAACUCCUCGUGCUUAUCACACACACAGCACUUUGAUUGAGGAAAGGGCUGCCUUGCAGGCUGGAGGAGGAGCUGCACAUCGCCCAACUGAUCUCAUGGGCUCUGAAGUUGUGCUGGGUGAGAGAAGGAAAACCUGAGCCAAGAGGUCCUGCACCCUGCUCACCUUGCAUCGCACCGAGUGAACCAUGGGAACACAGCGUGUGUCAUUAGGAAGCCUCCUUAUCACUGUGCCUCAGGCUGGGGAUCUGCACUUGGGAUCUCGUGAGUGGUGGCACGUGGGGAGGAGAAAUGGAGGCAUUUUGCUGAAGGACACAUGGGCUGUGCUGUGUUCGCACACAGAGCCAGCUCUUGGGAGCAUGUAAAAUGUAAGGACUGUUCCUACUCCAUACUCUUUUGGGUUGUGCCAGUUAACGCUGGCAGCAGAAUUUGGCUGCCUGCUAACCUGUUUUCAAGGCUUCUUUUUCUUGUCAGUAACUCUGCUGUGUUUGAGAUCAUCUGUCACAGCUCCUCAGUCGUUUUCCUUUGCCUUGCUCCUGCUGUCAUGGGUGAACGAGAGAGUCCUUUAAACUG